UAAUCACUGUAUGGCUGGGUGGGAUGUGGAACAUUCACUGGUUCCUGUAGUUCUUUGCAAAAACCUAGAAAUCGCAGUGGCUGCAUCUGAGCAAAGCGGUUGCACAGUUCUGGAACUCUCGAUUUUUAAAGGAUACCCAGCUGCCUUAAGGAUGAAGCUUACCACCUUGGGCCACUCUUUCAUCCCAGGACAGCAGGAAAUUUUAAGAAGUUGAUAGAUAUCCCCUCACGAAAUCCUAGAAAUUCUUAGUUGGACAUAAUCCAUAAUUAUGCUAGCUCUACAUCUGAGAAGCUGACCUCUACCGGUUGCAUCAUCUGGACUUCCCUGUGCAUUGGAGGCACCAGCAGGAGGUGGAAGGGCAAGAGGAGAUCUGGGCAUUUAUUCCUCCAUUCCAUCUUUGUUUGCCAUCAUUUUGGUGUUCUGGCAGAGGCUAGGUCAUUCACAGCUAAGGCUUCCACCUAACAACCCUUCUUCUAUGCUCAAGGGGCUCCAGUAAACUCCAUUCCUCCCUUUGUCCUUUCAGGCUCAGGGGUGGGUGGUAAGGGCUACCCCUGUAACUAGUCUCAGAGUACCUCAUCAUUCCUUCUUGAUUGCUUUAACCCUGUGCAUACCUCUCCAACUAAUUCAUUAAUUACAUUAUUUUAGGACAAACAAGUUUCCUGCCAUACUCAAUAAGAUGAGAAGUGUGAAGUGUAUAUAACUGAGAAGUAAGCAAAUGUGAGUUUAAGUUCAUUUAAGAAAAAAAAAAAAUCUCAAAAAUACAACAUCCUACCUUUUCAGGAGUAAAUAUUAUUUUCUAUUUUAAUGAGAAUUUGGACAUUACAGUCCAGGUAGAAGGAUAUGGAUUUACUCUUCUAAAUUCAUCUCUGAAAGAAGAAUUAGUCGGUUUACUAUUGAAAUAAUCUGACAUGUAUUACAUUCUUUUUUGCAUUGCUAAUUGUUGGUUGUAAACUUUUGGAAGCUUUUUGAAAGAAGUCUAUUCGGGAAGCAGGAGGAUUGGCAAUCUUAUAGGUUUUUAAUCUAUAAAAUGCCUAUCCAUGUAUCAUAAUUAAUAAAUACACAGUGCUGAGAAUAUGACACAACACACCUGCUGUGAAAGAAACUGGUUUGCAUUCAGUUUUUCAUCUAGAUGGAGAGGUCUGUCUGACAUACGCUCUUACUUAUCUGUCCUCCUUUCUAAAGUCAGAAGCACAUUUUAUUUCUUACAUAGUGGUUAAAAAAUGACACAUUGGGACAUAUCUACAGGCUGAGGUAUGAGCCAAUUUCUAGGAACUGAAAACCUUUGCCAAAAAAACAAACAAACAAACAACAAAAAAAAAAAAAACAAGAGAGCAGUUCCUCUGCAAAUUCAAAUUGUCUCUGUAUACUGUCAAUGAAAAAUAAUGACUUGCCUUCUGUGCAGCAACCAGGAAGCAAUGUUGUGUGACUCUUCCCUAUUCAGCCCCCAUCCCUCACAAUCCUCCUUCCGCCAACAACCCAAAUUUCAUUCACAUCUAACACUGGAAAAAGCAUGUAGUGAAGAGAUGAGGGGGAGUAAGUAUUGGAAUCCUGUUCUUUGUUGGGGAAAUCUGCAAGCUCUAGCUUUUUCCAUUUGAAUAGCAUUUCAUUUUGCCUAGUUCAGGGUUUGCUGAUUGUUCAUGAUUUCUAGAAAAGCUUGGAUUAAACCUUCUAAUUUCAGCUAAGUUCUUUUUCUGUAGGGCAAGCCCCUAUACUGAAAGUAUAGAAAUGUGGUCAAAAGGAAAACAGCAAAGUAGGAGAAUUGAAGAACAGGAGUUAGGAAACCUGAAGAAAUUAUGUAUUUGAUGAAUUUAACCAGAAUAAUGUUGUAUUAAUCAAGCACCUCUUUUGAUAUCUAUUUUCCUAAUUUUUUACACUCUAUGAUUAUGAUGCACAAAAAACUAAAAUCUUCACCUCCAAAAGAAAUCUUCACCUCUAUUUUCUAUUUCCUUUAUAUUUUUCCAAUAGAAAUGAUACAAAGAUACUCCUUAUUAGCUUGAAACAUGGAUGCCUUUGCGUCCAGAGUGUUCUUUUUAUUUGAUUCAUGUGGAAAGAAAAGCAAAAGUUGGUUAUUUCUCCAACAUGGAAUUUCUGACUUUGAUUUACAUAUGUUACUUGUUCAGCCAGGGCUUCCCAAUUCAUUAACUAUUACUACUUGAUUUUAAAUAACAGUGAGAAAUCUAUUCUGAAAAAGUAAACUAUUGAGAGGUCUGUGUGUGUAUACACAUACUCAUAGAUCUCCACAAUUAUUUAUAACCUUGAUCGAUAUGUCUUAAAAACUUGUUCAUUGUUUAAAAAUAUAGAGAAUUUGGAGUUCCCAUCAUG